rnacentral:rRNA from 1 species
UACGUAGGGGGCUAGCGUUGUCCGGAAUCAUUGGGCGUAAAGAGCGCGUAGGCGGCCCGGUAAGUCCGCUGUAAAAGUCCAGGGCUCAACCCUGGAAAGCCGGUGGAUACUGUCGGGCUCGAGUCCGGAAGAGGCGAGUGGAAUUCCUGGUGUAGCGGUGAAAUGCGCAGAUAUCAGGAAGAACACCAAUGGCGAAGGCAGCACUCUGGGACGUGACUGACGCUGAGACGCGAAAGCGUGGGGAGCAAACAGG